UGGGGAAUAUUGCACAAUGGGGGAAACCCUGAUGCAGCGACGCCGCGUGAGCGAAGAAGGCUUUCGAGUCGUAAAGCUCUGUCCUAUGAGAAGAUAAUGACGGUACCCUGUGAGGAAGCCCCGGCUAACUACGUGCCAGCAGGCGCGGUAAUACGUAGGGGGCUAGCGUUAUCCGGAUUUACUGGGCGUAAAGGGUGCGUAGGUGGUCCUUCAAGUCGGUGGUUAAAGGCUACGGCUCAACCGUAGUAAGCCGCCGAAACUGGAGGACUUGAGUGCAGGAGAGGAAAGUGGAAUUCCCAGUGUAGCGGUGAAAUGCGUAGAUAUUGGGAGGAACACCAGUAGCGAAGGCGGCUUUCUGGACUGCAACUGACACUGAGGCACGAAAGCGUGGGUAGCAAACAGG
rnacentral:rRNA from 1 species